GGAAUCUUUCACAAUGGGCGAAAGCCUGAUGGAGCAACGCCGCGUGCAGGAUGAAGGCCUUCGGGUUGUAAACUGCUUUUAUAGUCGAGAAAUAUGAUGGUAGACUGUGAAUAAGGAUCGGCUAACUACGUGCCAGCAGCCGCGGUCAUACGUAGGAUCCGAGCAUUAUCCGGAGUGACUGGGUGUAAAGAGUUGCGUAGGUGGCAUGGAAAGUCGAUAGUGAAAUCUGGUGGCUCAACCAUUCAGGCUAUUAUCGAAACUUCCACGCUCGAGACCGUUAGGGGUAACUGGAAUUUCUAGUGUAGGAGUGAAAUCCGUAGAUAUUAGAAAGAACACCAAUAGCGUAGGCAGGUUACUGGGACGGUUCUGACACUAAGGCACGAAAGCGUAGGGAGCAAACG
rnacentral:rRNA from 1 species